AGUCGAGCGGUAACAGGAAUUAGCUUGCUAAUUUGCUGACGAGCGGCGGACGGGUGAGUAACGCGUAGGAAUCUGCCUGGUAGUGGGGGACAACAUGUGGAAACGCAUGCUAAUACCGCAUACGCCCUACGGGGGAAAGGAGGGGAUCUUCGGACCUUUCGCUAUCAGAUGAGCCUGCGUGAGAUUAGCUAGUUGGUGGGGUAAAGGCUCACCAAGGCGACGAUCUCUAGCUGGUCUGAGAGGAUGAUCAGCCACACUGGGACUGAGACACGGCCCAGACUCCUACGGGAGGCAGCAGUGGGGAAUAUUGGACAAUGGGGGCAACCCUGAUCCAGCCAUGCCGCGUGUGUGAAGAAGGCCUUAGGGUUGUAAAGCACUUUCAGGAGUGAGGAAGGGUGUACGGUUAAUACCCGUAUAUUUUGACGUUAGCUCCAGAAGAAGCACCGGCUAACUCUGUGCCAGCAGCCGCGGUAAUACAGAGGGUGCGAGCGUUAAUCGGAAUUACUGGGCGUAAAGCGCGCGUAGGCGGUUUGUUAAGUCGGAUGUGAAAUCCCAGGGCUCAACCUUGGAAUGGCACCCGAUACUGGCAGGCUAGAGUACGGUAGAGGGGUGUGGAAUUUCCUGUGUAGCGGUGAAAUGCGUAGAUAUAGGAAGGAACAUCAGUGGCGAAGGCGACACUCUGGACCGAUACUGACGCUGAGUGCGAAAGCGUGGGGAGCAAACAGGAUUAGAUACCCUGGUAGUCCACGCCGUAAACGAUGUCUACU
rnacentral:rRNA from 1 species